rnacentral:misc_RNA from 1 species
AGCAGCCGCGGUAAUUCCAGCUCCAAUAGCGUAUAUUAAAGUUGUUGCAGUUAAAAGCUCGUAGUUGAAUUUCGGGGUUAGCAGGUCGGUCGUGCCAUCGGUAUGAACUGGUCUCGCUGAUCCCUCCCUCUUGACGAACUGUGAUGCCAUUAAUUUGGUGUCGCAGGGAAUCAGGACUGUUACUUUGAAAAAUUGAGUGUUUAAAGCAGGCUCACGCUUGAAUACAUUAGCAUGGAAUAAUGAAAUAGGACGUUUGAUCCUAUUUUGUUGGCUUCUAGGAUUGACGUAAUGAUUAAUAGGGAUAGUUGGGGGCAUUAGUAUUCAAUUGUCAGAGGUGAAAUUCUUGGAUUUAUUGAAGACUAACUACUGCGAAAGCAUUUGCCAAGGAUUGUUUUCAUUAAUCAAGAACGAAAGUUAGGGGAUCGAAGACGAUCAGAUACCGUCGUGGUCUUAACCAUAAACUAUGCGACUAGGGAUCGGAUGAUGUUAAUUUUUAAUGUACUUAC